rnacentral:rRNA from 1 species
UGGGGAAUCUUGCGCAAUGGGCGAAAGCCUGACGCAGCCAUGCCGCGUGAAUGAUGAAGGUCUUAGGAUUGUAAAAUUCUUUCACCGGGGACGAUAAUGACGGUAACCGGAGAAGAAGCCCCGGCUAACUUCGUGCCAGCAGCCGCGGUAAUACGAAGGGGGCUAGCGUUGUUCGGAUUUACUGGGCGUAAAGCGCACGUAGGCGGACUUUUAAGUCAGGGGUGAAAUCCCGGGGCUCAACCCCGGAACUGCCUUUGAUACUGGAAGUCUUGAGUAUGGUAGAGGUGAGUGGAAUUCCGAGUGUAGAGGUGAAAUUCGUAGAUAUUCGGAGGAACACCAGUGGCGAAGGCGGCUCACUGGACCAUUACUGACGCUGAGGUGCGAAAGCGUGGGGAGCAAACAGG